rnacentral:rRNA from 1 species
UACGAGGGGUGCAAGCGUUACUCGGAAUUACUGGGCGUAAAGCGUGCGUAGGUGGUUUGUUAAGUCUGAUGUGAAAGCCCUGGGCUCAACCUGGGAAUUGCAUUGGAUACUGGCAGGCUAGAGUGCGGUAGAGGAUGGCGGAAUUCCCGGUGUAGCAGUGAAAUGCGUAGAGAUCGGGAGGAACAUCUGUGGCGAAGGCGGCCAUCUGGACCAGCACUGACACUGAGGCACGAAAGCGUGGGGAGCAAACAGG